GUGUAUUGGGGUACGGACGAGGGGAUGUCGUGUGCGUCUUCGUCUUCCAAGCGAGCUCCUCCGGUGCUUGGCUAUGGCAGCAACGAGGCUAGGGCACGCUACGAGGCUUAUUCUCGGCUGCAAGCGACGGCGCUAGCCUUUGGAGAGCAGCUGUCCAUCCCGGAGAUUGUGGCCGUGGGAGGCCAGUCGGAUGGUAAGAGCUCGCUCCUGGAAGCACUGCUGGGGUUUAGGUUCAAUGUCCGCGAGGUGGAGAUGGGCACUCGUCGCCCUCUCGUGCUCCAGAUGAUCCACGAGCCAGCGGCGGUGGAUCCGCGAUGCCGACUGCAGCAUGAGGACGACGAGGAGUAUGGGCCUGUCAUAGUUCCGCAUUAUGCUGUGGCUGAGGCAAUCAAAUUAAGGACCGAAGAACACCUCAAGAAGAUCCGUGCGGCAGUCAGCUCCAAGCCAAUUGUGAUGCGUGUGGAGUAUGCGUAUUGUCCCAAUCUCACCAUCAUCGAUACACCGGGUUUUAUUCUCAAGGCGAAGAAAGGCGAACCAGAGAGUACACCCGAUGAUAUCCUUCAGAUGGUCCGGGCACUGGCAUUGCCACCAAACAGGCUGCUGUUGUUCUUACAGCAAAGUAGCGUCGAGUGGUGCUCCUCCUUGUGGCUGGAUACAGUUCGCUCUAUAGAUCCUGGUUUCCAUCGCACUGUGGUGGUUGUUUCCAAGUUUGAUAACAGGCUGGGGGAGUUUGCGGAGAAGUGGGAAGUUGACCGCUAUCUCAGUGCUGGGGGUUAUCUAGGUGAUCAUGUUCGUCCUUUUUUCGUUGCCUUGCCAAAGGACAGGGGAUCUGUUACAAACGAAGAGUUUCGUAGUCAAAUUGCCAGCGUAGAUGCAGAGGUGUUAAAGCAUCUCCGCGAAAGGAUCAGUGGUGGGUUUAGUGAGGACAAAUACAGUGGCAGCAUUGGAUUUGGAAACCUCCGCAACUAUUUGGAAGCUGAACUCCAGCGAAGGUACCGAGAAGCAGCUCCAGCUACACUCGCUCUGCUCGAGCGAAGAUGCAACGAAGUUGCUGCAGAACUUGCGACUGCAGAUGCAAAGCUCUCCACCGCAGGUGAUAUUGCCUCAUUGCGGAAAUCUGCGAUGAUACAUACGGCGGCUGUAGCAGGUCACAUGGGAGGUUUGCUGCAUGGUGCUGCAGACCUGGAUCCUCUAGAGUGGGGAUUGACAACAGAUGAAGAACGGGUACAAAGCGGAGCGAAAAAGUGGCCAGGCCUCACAGCUGACAUCCAGCCGCCGAAUGCGAUUCUAAAACUUUAUGGAGGAGCUUCUUUCGAGCGGGUUCUUACCGAAUUCAAGUGUGCCGCCUGUUCACUCGAAUGUCCUUCUAUUUCAAGAGAGACUGUUGCAAAUGUCUUGCUUGCACAUGUGGGACGAUCGGGAGGAACAUUUGCCGCUGCCGCGUCAAUCGCUCGUGCAGCUGCACAAUCAUGGCUUGGACCACUUCUUGAUACUGUUUGUGAUCGCCUUGGUCACGUUCUUCGUAAUCUUUUUGAUCUGGCCGUUGAGCGCAUUCGCACUCAAGACUCCACGAAUAGCGUGACAGGCUAUGUGGCCUUUCAGGCAGCUGUGAGACAAGCGCACGAUGGUUUCGUCCAGGAGCUGGUGAAAGAAUGCAAAGGUUUGGUGCGGCACGAGCUGGCGGCAAUCACGAGCCCGUACUCACAUCUAAACUUCUGGGAGAAUAGCUUUGGCGAUGGGAUUACUGCGGACAUGCACGGUGCAGUGACUGACGCUGUGUCAGAAGAAUUGGAAAAUCACGCUCCUCAAGGUUCCUCUAAGCCUCAAGCCGCAGCUAGAGUCUCAGACUGCCCGCUGAAAGAAAGUCAACUUACUAUACCGGAAACGCCGUCUCCGGAGCAGUCGAGCAGUGACGCCAAGAGGAAGGAAUACGCCAUUGCAAGCGGGAGGAUUGCCGACGUCACCUUUGCGACAAGGAAACGCCAUGGAAUGCCUGUGGGAGCUGUCAGCACUCGCAUUGGACCGCUGAAAGAGGCCAGGCACAGCCUCAACAAAACUAAAUCGGUGUACGACGAGGUGUGUUCCCUGGCCAUCGAGCAAUUCACGCGGAUCAGAGAAGUUCUCGUCGAGCGCAGCGUCCCGGCUGCGUUAAAUGCUGGCUUUCUCACGCCAUGCCAGGAGCGACUUGCUCUGGCACUGGGGCUGGAGCUCUUUGCAGUGAGCGACGAGCAGUUUAUGGACAUGUUCGUGGCUCCAGGCAUGCUGGAGCAGCUGGAAAACGAGCGCGCAUCCCUCCAGAAACGCUACAAGACUCUGCGAUCGUGCCUCCAUGAAUUUCGUACGCUAGCUCGUUCUCUUUGACAAGGUUCUCUGGAAGAAAACGCUGGAUUGAUUAACUAUCUUACAGUCCUAGUUCAAAAGGUUCAGAAUGUCUUGCCAGUCGCGUACAAGGUCUCUAGUCACAUCCGACCAGGCCAGGUGUUCGAGCAACGGGAUCGACGAAACGUCCAGGCUCUGCAAACAAGCCGCUCCCUAACAUUGCAAUUGAUCAUUUCCUUUUAUUCAAUUCAUCAGUCUUGUUGUG